AUAGUUGGCCAUAUCAUCUUGAGAAUGCCCACUCUUGUCAGAUCUCGGAAGCUAAGCAGGGUUGUUCCUCUUUAGUACUUGAAUGGGACACUUUUGAGCAGGUGCCAUCAUUG
rnacentral:rRNA from 1 species